AGGGUUUGAUUAUGGCUCAGAACGAACGCUGGCGGCGUGGAUAAGACAUGCAGGUCGUGCGACAGACCAGGAAUUGAUUACUUCGGUUUGAUUUUCCUGACGAUGAGCGGCGAACGGGUGCGUAACACGUGAGAAAUCUGCCCUUAAGUUCGGGAUAGCCCUACGAAAGUAGAAUUAAUACCGGAUGUGGCCCAGGGAGGGCAUCCUCCCCUGGCUAAAGCUCGGUUAAAGAGCGCUUUUGGAUGAUCUCGCGGUCUAUCAGCUUGUUGGUGAGGUAACGGCUCACCAAGGCUUUGACGGAUAGCUGGUCUGAGAGGAUGAUCAGCCUCACUGGAACUGAGACACGGUCCAGACACCUACGGGUGGCAGCAGUCGAGAAUCAUUCACAAUGGGCGCAAGCCUGAUGGUGCGACGCCGCGUGGGGGUAGUAGGGCUUCGGUUCGUAAACCCCUGUCAUCUGUGAGUAAGUCUCCCAAUAAAAGCUUGGGAGGUUGAUAUUAGCAGUAGUGGAAGGGACGGCUAACUCUGUGCCAGCA
rnacentral:rRNA from 1 species